rnacentral:rRNA from 1 species
AUUGAACGCUGGCGGCAGGCCUAACACAUGCAAGUCGAACGAGUGGCGGACGGGUGAGUAAUGUCUGGGAAACGGCCUGAUGGAGGGGGUUAACUACUGGAAACGGUAGCUAAUACCGAAUACCACAGGAGGGGCCCAGAUGGGAUUAGCUAGUUGGUGGGGAAACGGCCACCCAAGGCGACGAUCCCUAGCUGGUCUGAGAGGAGGACCAGCCACACUGGAACUGAGACACGGUCCAGACUCCUACGGGAGGCAGCAGUGGGGAAUAUUGCACAAUGGGCGCAAGCCUGAUGCAGCCAUGCCGCGUGUAUGAAGAAGGCCUUCGGGUUGUAAAGUACUUUCAGCGGGGAGGCGUUACCCGCAGAAGAAGCACCGGCUAACUCCGUGCCAGCCGCCGCGGUAAUAC